CGAGAACUAGGGCUCCCAUUCGUCCCCUCACCCUCCUCCUUGAAGAUUGGGAUGUGACCUUAAAACAUAAACUCUCCACAGGACUCCAAAGGAUUGAGGCCUCCAAACAUGGGGGACUUGCCCCCCAGACCAGCCCCCCUGCCCAGCCCGGCGGGCGUCCCCUUUCCUCCUUGUGCUCCCGCAGGGAACAAAGCCCUGACCUCCUUAGCAAGAUGAGCAGAUGAAAGUGUGGCCCACAGCCUGGGAGCCUCCAAUUCCAAGAUCCUCAGGGAACAUCACAGCACCUGGGUGGGGGGCCUGGCGAGGAGACUGCUAACACACUGAUAAGUGGAUUCAAAAGCACCUGCCCCUUUCUGCUUAUCUCUUCAAACAAUAUGAACUUGGAGUUAUCACAUUUAAAGUGUUCCCUAUUAGCCUUACAUUUAGCUCUUCAAACCAAGUGCAGAGCUACAACUUUAAAGGACACAAGAGUCAAACUGGAAAACAAUUUCACGCCACCAGGGAGUCAGUUCCCAGCCUAAUCCCUCAGGAGAAGGUCAGGGCUCCUUCACUUAGUCCAGGCCUUAGGGCUGAGAAGCCGGUGGGGACAAGCUACAUGCAGGUCCAUCUCGGUCAAAAGCAGAGCCUGCUGGGACAGCACAGGAGCGCAACAGCAGGGACCUGCAGCCCAGGGGCAGCUGGAGUCCCACUCCCCCAUCUGUUGACCGUUUACCCUGUGUUUGACUGUGACGUUCACUCUGCCUUGCAGAAGGUUGGGCAGUAGCCAGAUGGAGCUAAACUAUCCAGCACUGUAGCUACUAGCCACUGCAAGGGCCUGAAAGCCCCACCUGGCUACUGACUGCCGAAUGGGGUAGCCCAGAACGACAGGAUCACAAUCCCAGCAUCCUGGAAAGUUCCCUAGGAGAGCUCUGGUCUGGAUGCCUUCAUGCCCCUCAUGUUAGAAGUGCCUCCUGGCCUUCCCUGGUCUCCCCCAGGACAAAGGAAGGUGACUGGCCACACGGGCAAAGGAACCAAGACUUAGAGCUGCACUCUUCAUGGAAAGACGGAAACUACAGAGCAGCAGGCUAAUUGCUUCAUGCUGGGUACCAGGGACAGCGGCAUGCUAAUGCAUCUGGCAUUCCUGGAGGCUGGUCUCUCAGAGCCAGAGCUGAAAGCCCAGGAGGGGUGCCCAGAGCACCAGGGCUGCUGCUGUCCUGCCAGGCAGAGCUCUUGCCUUGGGGAACCAGAACCUUGCGAAGGUUAUGCCACAUCUGAAAACAGGUUCAGAACUGGGCUUCCAGAGCCAGGCAC
rnacentral:lncRNA from 1 species